rnacentral:rRNA from 1 species
GACGAACGCUGGCGGCGUGCUUAACACAUGCAAGUCGAACGGAAAGGCCCUGCUUUUGUGGGGUGCUCGAGUGGCGAACGGGUGAGUAACACGUGAGUAACCUGCCCUUGACUUUGGGAUAACUUCAGGAAACUGGGGCUAAUACCGGAUAGGAGCUCCUGCUGCAUGGUGGGGGUUGGAAAGUUUCGGCGGUUGGGGAUGGACUGGCGGCUUAUCAGCUUGUUGGUGGGGUAGUGGCUUACCAAGGCUUUGACGGGUAGCCGGCCUGAGAGGGUGACCGGCGACAUUGGGCCUGAGAGACGGCCCAGAGUCCUACGGGAGGCAGCAGUGGGGAAUAUUGCACAAUGGGCGGAAGCCUGAUGCAGCAACGCCGCGUGCGGGAUGACGGCCUUCGGGUUGUAAACCGCUUUCGCCUGUGACGAAGCGGGAGUGACGGUAAUGGGUAAAGAAGCACCGGCUAACUACGUG